rnacentral:rRNA from 1 species
GACGAACGCUGGCGGCGUGCUUAACACAUGCAGGUCGAACGGAAAGGCCCUGCUUUUGUGGGGUGCUCGAGUGGCGAACGGGUGAGUAACACGUGAGUAACCUGCCCUUGACUUUGGGAUAACUUCAGGAAACUGGGGCUAAUACCGGAUAGGAGCUCCUGCUGCAUGGUGGGGGUUGGAAAGUUUCGGCGGUUGGGGCUGGACUCGCGGCUUAUCAGCUUGUUGGUGGGGUAGUGGCUUACCAAGGCUUUGACGGGUAGCCGGCCUGAGAGGGUGACCGGCCACAUUGGGACUGAGAUACGGCCCAGACUCCUACGGGAGGCAGCAGUGGGGAAUAUUGCACAAUGGGCGGGCGCCUGAUGCGGCAACGCCGCGUGCGGGAUGACGGCCUUCGGGUUGUAAACCGCUUUCGCCUGUGACGAAGCGUGAGUGACGGUAAUGGGUAAAGAAGCACCGGCUAACUACGUG